rnacentral:piRNA from 1 species
UGGCUUCCUGAGUGCUUGGUUUUAAGGC